CUGUUCCUGGCCCGGGAAAAGUAGUCGACAGGACGGAGAAGUCUAUUUUGUGAUAGUGCUAGUGCUAAUCAUAUUUGGGACAUAAAUAUAAUUUUUAUUGUGGUAGCUGCUUGUCUAAUUCAUAAAUACGCCAUACAAGCAUUAGGUCAUUGUCCCUGCUAGACUCCGCGAGUAAAUAGGACUGAUGCGCUUUUGAGAACUUUUCCAAAGACUAAUAGCCUUGUCAGACACAGUUCCUCGAAUGCCGAGCUGUUUCUUAAACGACAUUUCUCGUAUCAGUCUGUGGACGUCUGGUAGUUAGUAAGUGAAGACUUUGAGAGUCAUUGGACGCCAGUGGUCCUGUGGAAGCCGAAUGAAAUGAAAGACAAACGAACUGACCUCCUCCAGGCGCUCCUUUAGUACCCCCCACCAUCGUCACGCCCUUGUAAGACAACCUAGGAUGUCGGUGGGUGAAUGAUAAUUAGCACCAUUACCACCGCCCUUAUGCCGCCCCUUUUAGCUAAAUGUGAAACAUGGAUCAAAAAAUGACUCGUACGUCCCAGCAGCCCUUUUCUCCGCCUCCUCCUCUUCUCCUCCUCCUCCUCCUCCUCCUCCUCCUACUCCCUUUUCUUGCGUCCCUUCUUUUCUUGGUGUAGCAGCGGCAGCAGGACACUCGGCUUGGGAUCUGCCAAGUCCAGGUAUUCCAUUGCUCGUCCAUGUUCUCUUCGCCCUUAUCGACGAGUAAUCUGUUUUAUAGCUUUGUUUCGUUCCCUGCUUCUGAUGAGGCCUACCUUCCCUUCCCUCUCCCCCUCCUCCCCCCCCCCUCUCCAAGGAACCCCCACACAGCGUACCAAAGGGCCUUUCGUAUCCUCCCCCGUCUGCUCCCCUCCCCACCCCUUCAUACAUCAGAAGGAGGGAUCAAGAAAAGGUUUGCCAUUAUCCUGCGCAUCCUCUUGUCCUUUUUUCCACUGGGAAUUUUUAGA